UACGGGGGGGGCAAGCGUUGUUCGGAAUUACUGGGCGUAAAGGGCGCGUAGGCGGUCUGCUAAGUUGGAUGUGAAAACUCUGGGCUUAACCCAGAGCCUGCAUUCAAAACUGACAGGCUAGAGUUCUGGAGGGGAUAGCGGAAUUCCUGGUGUAGCGGUGGAAUGCGCAGAUAUCAGGAGGAACACCGGUGGCGAAGGCGGGAUCCUGGGCCAGUACUGACGCUGAGGAGCGAAAGCGUGGGGAGCGAACAGG
rnacentral:rRNA from 1 species